UCCGUAGGCGGUGCGGCAAGUCGGAAGUGAAAUCUCAGGGCUUAACCCUGAGGCUGCUUCCGAAACUGCCGUGCUGGAGUGUGAGAGAGGCGAGUGGAAUUGCAGGUGUAGCGGUGAAAUGCGUAGAUAUCUGCAGGAACAUCCGAGGCGAAAGCGGCUCGCUGGAUCGCAACUGACGCUGAGGGACGAAAGCUAGGGGAGCAAACAGGAUUAGAUACCCUGGUAGUCCUAGCCCUAAACGAUCAGGACUGGGCGUGGGCCUCGUACGGGGCUCGUGCCGCAGCUAACGCGUUAAGUCCUGCGCCUGGGGAGUACGGUCGCAAGGCUGA
rnacentral:rRNA from 1 species